GAUGAACGCUGGCGGCGUGCUUAACACAUGCAAGUCGAACGAAGAUAUUUAGAAUGAGAGCUUCGGCAGGAUUUCUUUCCAUCUUAGUGGCGGACGGGUGAGUAACGUGUGGGCAACCUGCCCUGUACUGGGGAAUAAUCAUUGGAAACGAUGACUAAUACCGCAUGUGGUCCUCGGAAGGCAUCUUCUGGGGAAGAAAGGAUUUAUUCGGUACAGGAUGGGCCCGCAUCUGAUUAGCUAGUUGGUGAGAUAACAGCCCACCAAGGCGACGAUCAGUAGCCGACCUGAGAGGGUGAUCGGCCACAUUGGGACUGAGACACGGCCCAAACUCCUACGGGAGGCAGCAGUGGGGAAUAUUGCACAAUGGGCGAAAGCCUGAUGCAGCAACGCCGCGUGAAGGAUGAAGGGUUUCGGCUCGUAAACUUCUAUCAAUAGGGAAGAAAGAAAUGACGGUACCUAAAUAAGAAGCCCCGGCUAACUACGUGCCAGCAGCCGCGGUAAUACGUAGGGGGCAAGCGUUAUCCGGAAUUACUGGGUGUAAAGGGAGCGUAGGCGGCAUGGUAAGCCAGAUGUGAAAGCCAUGGGCUUAACCCGAGGAUUGCAUUUGGAACUAUCAAGCUAGAGUACAGGAGAGGAAAGCGGAAUUCCUAGUGUAGCGGUGAAAUGCGUAGAUAUUAGGAAGAACACCAGUGGCGAAGGCGGCUUUCUGGACUGAAACUGACGCUGAGGCUCGAAAGCGUGGGGAGCAAACAGGAUUAGAUACCCUGGUAGUCCACGCCGUAAACGGAUGAGUGUUAGGUGUUGGGGAGGGAUCAUCGGUGCCGCAGCUAACGCAAUAAGCACUCCACCUGGGGAGUACGACCGCAAGGUUGAAACUCAAAGGAAUUGACGGGGGCCCGCACAAGCGGUAGAGCAUGUGGUUUAAUUCGAAGCAACGCGAAGAACCUUACCAAGGCUUGACAUCCCGAUGACCGCUCUAGAGAUAGAGCUUCUCUUCGGAGCAUCGGUGACAGGUGGUGCAUGGUUGUCGUCAGCUCGUGUCGUGAGAUGUUGGGUUAAGUCCCGCAACGAGCGCAACCCUUAUCUUCAGUAGCCAUCAUUCAGUUGGGCACUCUGGAGAGACUGCCGUGGAUAACACGGAGGAAGGUGGGGAUGACGUCAAAUCAUCAUGCCCCUUAUGUCUUGGGCUACACACGUGCUACAAUGGCUGGUAACAAAGUGAGGCGAAACGGCGACGUUAAGCAAAUCACAAAAACCCAGUCCCAGUUCGGAUUGUAGUCUGCAACUCGACUACAUGAAGCUGGAAUCGCUAGUAAUCGCGAAUCAGCAUGUCGCGGUGAAUAAGAUCCCGGGCCUUGUACA
rnacentral:rRNA from 1 species